rnacentral:rRNA from 1 species
GACGAACGCUGGCGGCGUGCUUAACACAUGCAAGUCGAACGGAAAGGCCCUGCUUUUGUGGGGUGCUCGAGUGGCGAACGGGUGAGUAACACGUUAGUAACCUGCCCUUGACUUUGGGAUAACUUCAGGAAACUGUGGCUAAUACCGGAUAGGAGCUCCUGCUGCAUGGUGGGGGUUGGAAAGUUUCGGCGGUUGGGGAUGGACUCGCGGCUUAUCAGCUUGUUGGUGGGGUAGUGGCUUACCAAGGCUUUGACGGGUAGCCGGCCUGAGAGGGUGACCGGCCACAUUGGGACUGAGAUACGGCCCAGACGCCUACGGGAGGCAACAGUGGGGAAUAUUGCACAAUGGGCGGAAGACUGAUGCAGCAACGCCGCGUGCGGGAUGACGGCCUUCGGGUUGUAAACCGCUUUCGCCUGUGACGAAGCGUGAGUGACGGUAAUGGGUAAAGAAGCACCGGCUAACUACGU